UUGGAUGUGAUGAUACUUUCCCCAAAUGAUCGACGCUGAUUACACUAUGCUGGUGUUUUUAUCACAUUCUGUCUGAUCCAU
rfam:Cucumis melo, WGS project CAJI01000000 data, contig: 25939